ensembl:ncRNA lncRNA:CR44479 long non-coding RNA:CR44479
CAACUGUUCGCAAGUCCUGCGAACAGGCAGAGAAGCAUAGCGAGGAGCAGCAGGAGCGAGGACGAAGGAAACUUCAGGCUGCGGUGUGUCAUUGCUGGACAAGCAAAGCAGAUUGGCACCCGGACAGCAGUCAUUAGCUGCACUUCAUCCGGAGCACACGAAAAUAGCAGCGCACAUGUGUUCUGCACACGUGCCAGGACCUACACGGACCACAAUUAAGAUAAUGCAAUAUCAACAAGACAAGGACCUCCAGAGAGACAGCUGAAGUGAGCACUCGCAGAAAAAGAAUGUUUUUGAAUGCAUUUUAAAUAUUUAUCAGCUAUAUUACAUGAUGUUACAUUUUGCAUGAAGUUACCGAAAAAAUAUAUUAGAAUCUGCAAUU